AUCGUGUGCUCAACCGAGUACUUAGUGAUUGGUUGAGCCACCCUUAACCAAUUUCUCGCCUCAAAGAAUGACGAUAUGUUGCCGAGUUGGGUAGCUCCUAGAGGGGUGGCAGCGAUGUCUCCCAAGUCGAAGAAGCGCUCCGGAACAAUAGCCUUGGCUCGAGGAUGAGCACCAAGGGAUGUGGGAUGAGGUGACAAGACCGAAGUGGGAGCUCUACCCCGUUGAGUGUGGGAAGUGGAUGCACCCUUAGAGCCAGGUGUUUCCUUAGCAAGUGUUGGACGAGCACGCUUUGGAGGCAUUGUCUGCACAAUCACACCAGUAAACAAACCAGAAAUGUAAGAAAAAUGACGAAAUUGUCAAUAGUAAGUUCAUUGAGGCAUUUGAUCAAACACUUGGUGUGCAUAACCUUGAGACAUGCGAAUGGCAACAAUGAAGUAAUGUCAAGUACACAAACACAUGGAAAACAAGGAUAACAUAAGAGAGACCAUGAACACAAAACAAGACAAGAGAGAAGAUAGGAAAGAGAACUUACGAGAGAUAGUGAUUGAGAAUAACCAACAACUUUGCCGACAAACACACCGGACCAAAACAAGAACAAGAGAAGGAGAACAAAUGCAAGCAAGAAAAAAAAAGUAGAAGAAUAUCUCCUAAAACAGUUAAGGAAACUCAAAAAAAAAAAAAAAAAAAACUAACUGGUUGUAGUGUGCCAAGAAAGAAGGAAACACGAUUGAUCUAACAGUUGGCUUUGUGUUUUAAAAAAUGGUUUUAAACAGCAAUUGGACCGAACUGUACCAGGGACGUACGUACAUCUGCUUAGUCCAACGUACGAGCCCCCUAACUACGUUCGUACGUUCGAGGAAGAAAAAAAAAUUCUGCCUCCCUUAACGUACGAACGUCCUAAAGACGUACGUACUCUCAUUUUUUUUUUUUUUUUUUGUUUUUUUUAUAUAUAUAUAUAAAACAAUUGAAAAACCAACCUUAAAACUAAACAACGACUAACACAAAUAUUGAGAGACAUCACAUAGAAACAUUUCUAAAUAUUGUAUGGAUUCCAAUUAUAGCACUAACACAAUUUGAACAAGCCUCGAUCAUGAGAAUGCAAAAUUGAAGAACUAACACACACACCAUGCCACGGUACUCAACAUAAUGAUGCAAAACCCAGAAACCACAGUCUAGGCCACAACACGAAAGGACCCUGAUUCAACCAACAUGAAAUUUCCCCCUAUUUUUUUUUUAUUUUUUUUAUUAUUAUUAUCCAUGUAAAACAAAUGCCAUUCUCGUGUGGGAGUAUAGAACACCUCCAUCUUUUACCAAAACACGAGGGUAGGGUGUAGCCUACAUCUUUUCGGUAAAAACACACUCAAGAAGUGCAAUACCAUGGUAACGUGCAACACAAGAACUAACAUCUCUUGAGUGCAUCCGUCAGAGCAUGACCCUCACAACCCCAACGGGUUCCUAGCCAACUGAUAAUGCGCCCAAGACAUUCAAAUGGCUGGGGAUUUUGUGAGUCAUUGACCACUUACAAGAGGUGUAUAUAUAAAAGAAAAACGAUGAUCAUGAAGAGUAAUCAUAUAAGAGUGAGGAUAGACAGUUAUUCCAAACAUCCCAUGACAUGCAAAUGCACUAUGUAAGACCCUACCAAAGGCAUAGAGAGUGUGAUGAAGCCCUACAACAAUGCAUUACAUAGAGACCUAGUUAAGGGUGCCAAAUUAUACAUAGCUGAAAAAUGGAAUCCACACAAUAAAGAGAAUAGUAUGUCCUCAAAACACCAGAAAUAGAAAAGAAUCAAAAGAAUGACCUAACCUAAACAUCCUAAACACAAACAGUUCCAAUUUCAGAGAGCACAUUAGAUAUAUAAAUGCGGAAGAGGCGUAGUGACAAUGAAACAGUUAUCAUGUGAACGACUACCAGUUAAUAGCAAGACAUGAUUUGAAUCAAAAACAUCACACUUAUCAUCCUCAAAAACAACUUUAAACUUAGCAUCACACAACUGACUAAUACUUAACAGAUUUGAUUUAAGACCUUUAACAAAAAGAAGCUCAUGACUAUUGAGCGAGCCCACCUCAGAAAAAUUACCUUUACCUUCAACUGGAAGCAUUUUACCAUUUCCAAAAGUAACCUUACCUCCAUAACCAAGAAUCAGGUUAUCAACGAGAGACUUAUCACCAGUCAUAUGACGCGAACAUCCGCUGUCAAGAUACCAUGAUGAAGGCAUUGGUUCAACCAAGCGAGCCAUGUGAGAUACUAUUUUCCUGGACACAUCCAUACUCCUAUCCCAGAAAUGUGGUGGUGGAGUAGGCAUGGGUGUUGCUUGAGGGCAAUUAACAUAAGGAGAAGUUUUGGGUAAGCCCCACGGAGCAUAGCCAUUCCACAUGUAUGGAGCCUGCAUGGAGAAGGUGGAAGACUUGUUCCAAUAUGAAUUACCUGCAAAAGAAGAAUGGUGAGCAGGAUACAAAUUGUUCCAACAAAAAGCAGAAGUGUGACCCAUGCGACCACAGGUUAGACAUUUAAAGCCUCUGUGUCUAAGAUUCUUUUUCCGGACAUGCUUUACACGAGUAACCUUGGGUGGGGAAACCACACCAGACACCUGCACAGGAGCAGGAAAAGCAACACCUGUUGGUCGGACAAAAGUAGUACGGGAGGUGCUAGCAGUAGAAAGAGGAACAGAUGUGUCGUAACCUAAUCCAGAUUUGUCUGAAUGGGAUUUACCAAUUCCCAGCAGAGAGUUUAGACUAUCACUGGCUUUACCAAACCCAACCAAUUGUUUGUUAGCAGCAAACAAUUCAGCGUUUACUUUCUCAUGUUCCAAUACAAGGGAUCGAUACCGUGUCUCCAGAUCAUUAUUCAGUUUUUCCAGAGUGGCAAUACGCACUUGGAAAUCCUCCUUUUCCUUCACAAAUUCUUCCUUCAACAUGUUGGAGUCACCUGCAAGGUUACAUAUAUCCUGCCCAAGACUAUCUACCUGUUCCUGCAAGACAGUGUUAGUUUUUUCAAGCAACUUUACUUGUUGCAUGGAAAACUUAUACAUAUCACAUAAUUCACUAGUAGUAUCAUGAACACCAGAAUCAGAAGCAUUAAUAUCAUCAGUAGAGGAUACAAUACCUCCUGGAUGCUCAUCCAGGGAUGCACUGAAGACCACAUAGUUGGAGACAACAUUUGAGGGAUUGCCAUCCUCAUCUUCAUCUGAAUCAUCCCACGUCACUGUGAGGUUCGCUUUGGAAUUAUCACCAGGUUUGCGAUCCACCUUCUUGUCACAUUCAUUAGCAAAGUGUCCAUAUUCACGACACUUGUAACAUUGGACAUCUUUACGAUCAACUCGAGCUCUUCUUCCAUCCACAUAGAAUCGCUCAAAACCACGACUCCUAGGAGCAUUUGAGGAGUCAAGAAAUCGCUUUCGAGGGUCUCGAUUCUGUUGAUAUUUCAGAAUCUUCUGAAAGCUACAUGAUAGAAACGAAUAGUUAUCAUCCACAACCUGUUCUUCAUCAUCAGAUAGUCCUGUGGGAGUUUCUUUAGACGAUGUAGCCUUGAAUGCCACAGACUUGUUCUUCAAAGGUUCUUCCAAGGCCUGUUCCAGCAAGUGUCUCAAUGGACAUGUUCUUAAUCACAUUACUCUCAGUAAUGGCAUCCUUACGAGAACGAAACCGAGGAGGCAAAGCACGCAAUAUCUUACGUACCACUUGUGUGUCAGUAUAUGCAUGACUAAUAGCAGCACUGCAAUUUAUAAUGUCUUGAAGACGAAUAAAUAAAUCAUCAAAAGUCUCAGAAUUAUCCAUCCGUAAAUUCUCAAACUGAGAUGUUAACAGUUCCAGCUUGCUUUCUUUGACAGUUUCGUCACCUUCAUGUGUACAGAUAAGCCUGUUCCAUGCAUCUUUAGCCUCUUCACAGCCUUGCACAUGAGGAAACUCACUGGCAUUUAAUGCCAUGAAAAUAGCAUUGAGUGCCUUGUUGUUAUAAUUUGCCAACAACUUCUGUUCAGAUGUCCACUUUUCACGUGGCGUCAGUGAUGUAACGGCAGUAUCAUCAGUACAUGUAGUAGUUUAAUCUUGAAUAAGCUACAAGACCCACUUGAUGUCAUCUCAAGGCUAACUAUAAAAAUGAAUAUAAGACUAAAAACAGACAAAACUGAGAAGUUGAGUCUUUUGACUCCAGAUGUACGUAAUAUCUCUCCAAGAAAAGGACGGGGCUCAAAGAGGAAGAUGAACUUGUCUCUUCAAUAUUCAAUUAAUAAAAAGCUACCUAAACCUUAGCUACUACUUCUCUUAUAUAGAAAAUACAAAGUAGAAUAUGAGAAACUAUAAAUAGUGCUAAUAUAACAGUUGAAUAUUCAAACAAAUCAAACAAUAUGCAGAAAGUAAAUAACACACAGAAAUUUUUAACGUGGUAAAACCCAAUAAGGGAAACGUCCACGCUUGUCCUCGCGACAACAAAAAAUCCACUAGAUGAAAAGAGAUGUACAAACCUAUCAACUACCUGCAAUCACUGCGAGUUGACACUCCUGGUUAUCUCUAACACCUUGACUUCACCAGAGCACCUUGAUGUACGCACAAGACACUUGACUUCUUGAUGAACACACAAGAAGACUCGAAGCCGAAUUCACAAUGAAACUUGGAAGAUAACAGAUUUAUGAAUUGAGAGAAGGGGGAAGGAAGGGAAUUGAGUUCAAUAACCAAAAACAGUUUCAACACCAAAACCUAAACCAAAACUCCAGAACAAGAGGAAUACUGGACGGCCAAAGAACUAACUUGUCCUUUGGAAGAGAAACCCUAUUUAUACUUAGGGUUGGAAAACACAGAAAAUGGGCCGAAAUAGAGAAAAUCCACAUUGGACGUACGUACGUCGAAAUGACGUUCGUACGUCUCCAUACGAAACAAGCUUGCUGACAGCUUGGACGUACGAAUGUCCUAACAAGGUACGUACGUCCAGACCAAAAACUAUUUUGCUGCCUAACCUGAUGUACGUACGUCCUAACAAGGUACGUACGUCCUGAACCAAAAACCAUACUUGACACAAGACGCGAAGACAAGGACACAGGAUGACAUGCGUACAACAAGAUUUUCUUAACAAUGAACUCAAGGCGAAAUAACCAUGGACGACCAAUGUCACAAAAUUGAUGUCAAACAACUUAGAGCCGGUUUCAGGUUGUUGCUCGAUUGUCUGAUGAGCAAUCAACUGCUAGUAAAGAAUGCUCUAGUGACUGUGACAGGGAUUUGAUUCUGAUUGACAAUAAUGAUUGGGCUACCCUAUACCGGUUAUCCAGAAAGGAAUGUCUAAGGUUGGAGGCACAAAAUAGUAUUCUUCAGGAUAGACUUGACUUACUCUCUGCUAGUUCCUCGUCUAUGUCAAUCCUGGAUAGGGAACCUGAAUCUUGGCAGGUCGAUAAGGUGACCUUAUUGAGCAAUCUUGCUGCUCUUGAGCACGACAAGGUCGAAUGGGAAGCCCGGUGUAAUAUUUUGUCCACUGAACUAGACGAUAUCAAAAAGGAACUGAUCCGUCUUCAGUUGUUCGAAAACUGCAAUGGGUUGUCAUCUUCUGAACUACCUCCACUGUUGCCCCAUCCUCCUACCAAAAAGUCUGACAUUCAUCACUCUGUGGCCACGGUAGGCAUCCGGCGUAAAUGGAAACCGUUUAGGCGUGCUCCUCCUCAGGAAAGAAAACGUCAAAUGCCUUGCUCAUUAUGCGGACAGUUUGGACAUUGGGCCUCGCAGUGUGUUGUGGCUGCUCAUGUUCCACAACCAUGGAAGCUGUUUUCACAGCCGUCGUAUUUUUAUCCAUCUUAUCCAUAUGCUUCUUACUCUUCUCCUUGUAACUUUGCAGGAAAUGUUUCAAAUGUGGCGAUUACUGCCCUUCAUGUCUCGAGCUCGGAUAGUGAGUGGUUACUUGAUAGUGGUGCUUCAAAACAUAUGUCAAGUAAUGCCAAACUUUUCUCCUCCGUUACUGCUAUAGAUGGUGGAAGUGUCACUUUUGGUAAUGGUAAGCGCUCUCCUGUGAUUGGUAAGGGAUUUGUUGCUGGUAUUGGUCUAUCUUCGAAUGAUGUUUGUUUGUUAGUUGAUGGGUUGCGUGUUAAUUUGAUCAGUAUUAGCCAACUGUGUGAUACUGAUCAUACUGUUAAUUUUUCUAAAAAUAUAUGUACUGUGCUUGAUAGUUCGGGUAAGUGUAUCAUGACAGGUAAACGUACAUUGGAUAAUUGCUAUGCCAUUCAGCCUGUUGCAUCUGGCAUAAACUGCUUACCUAGCAAACUAAAUGAGGGUCUGUUGUGGCAUCAACGACUAGGUCAUGUCAACUUUGAACACCUGGACAAUCUAACUCGGAAUGAAUAUAUCAAGGGAGUUCCUAGACUUGGAAGAAAUCGCGACACUGUGUGUGGUGGGUGUCAACUAGGUAAACAGAUACGGAGUCCACAUUCCAAGAAAAAGUCCAUAACCACUUCCUCUCCUUUAGAACUCAUACACAUGGAUCUGAUGGGUCCUACUCGUACUCCUAGCUUAGGAGGCAAACGAUACAUCUUGGUUAUGGUUGAUGAUUACACUCGCUUUACCUGGGUAUCAUUCUUGCAUGAAAAAUCUGAUGCGUUUCUUGAGUUUCAGGGGAUAUGUCUUUGUAUUAAGAAUGAGAAAAUACUCAAAUUAAACAUGUCAGAAGUGACAGAGGUCGUGAGUUCACAAACACAGGUGUUAUUGAAUAUUGCAUUGCAAAUGGUACGUGGCAAGAAUUUUCCGCCCCAUACACUCCGCAACAAAACGGAGUCGCUGAAAGGAAAAACCGUGUUAUUCAGGAGAUGGCUCGUGCUAUGUUGCAUGCGAAGGAUGUUCCUACCAAGUUUUGGGCGGAAGCGGUUCAUACUGCUUGUUACAUCAUGAACCGUGUAUAUCUGAGAUCUGGUACUACACAAACUGCUUAUGAGCUAUGGUAUGGUAAGAAGCCGAAUCUCAAAUAUAUGCGAGUUUUUGGCAGUGUUUGCUAUGUGUGCAAGGACAGACAAAGUCUCUCCAAGUUUGAUAGUCGAGGUGAUGUUGCUCUUUUACUUGGUUAGUCCUCUAAUAGUAGGGCAUUUCGAGUAUUUAACUACACCACUCGCACGGUCAUGGAAUCCUUUAAUGUUGUUGUUGAUGACACUAUUAUAUCUGACUCUUCUGUUUCUACUGGUACACAGGAUAUCACAGUUCUCUCACCCGUGUCAGACUCUGUUGACAUGUCUCCCAUGUCGUUAUCAUUACCUGAUAAUGGCAAUGAUGGUACUAAACCUUCGGUUGCUGCAGAGGACUUGCCUGGUAGGACCAGUGCUGUGCCCACACCGGAUGAUGUUGUUUCAUCACCAGGAGUGGUUGAUGUGUCUCCAGAUCACUCCACUGUGCCUGCUGAACCUGACGGGUUGUUUACUCAAGCAUCACCUCGUGUUAAACAACAUCACUCCUUAGGGGAUAUCAUUGGGGAUAUUAAUGAUCAGCGUCUGACUCGUCGAAGGGCCAAGGAGACAAAUUGUGUUCACUAUGUUUGUUAUCUCUCUUCUCUUGAACCUAAACAUGUUAUUGAUGCUCUUACUGAUGAUGAUUGGCUAGUUGCUAUGCAGAAAGAACUCGGUCAGUUUAAGCGUAGUGAUGUUUGGACAUUAGUUCCUAGACCUACUCACACUAAUGUGGUUGGCACCAAGUGGAUCUUUAAAAACAAAUUGGAUGAGUUUGGGCAGAUUGUGCGCAACAAGGCAAGGCUUGUAGCUCAGGGCUAUAGUCAGAUUGAAGGUAUUGACUACGGAGAGACUUUUGCUCCUGUGGCUAGGUUGGAGUCAGUCAGGCUUCUUCUUGCAAUGGCAUGCCACUUGAAUUUCAAGUUGUAUCAAAUGGAUGUCAAAAGUGCGUUCCUCAAUGGUAUUCUCAAUGAGGAGGUCUAUGUUGAACAACCAAAGGGGUUUGUGGAUCACACUUUUUCGAAUCAUGUCUUCAAAUUGCAAAAAGCAUUGUAUGGUUUCAAACAGGCUCCUCGAGCUUGGUAUGAACGUCUGACAUCUUUCUUACUAGGGAAAUGAUUUGUUCGUGGCCGUGUUGAUCGAACUUUGUUUAUACUGAGAAAGAAUAAUGAUGUUCUUCUCGCCCAAGUCUAUGUGGAUGAUAUAGUGUUUGGAUCCACGUGCCCAAGUCUUUCUGAAUCUUUUUCUCAGUUAAUGAGUUCUGAAUUUGAAAUGAGCUUAAUGGGAGAACUCAAUUUCUUUCUUGGCUUGCAGGUAAAGCAGUUUGACCAUGGAGCUUUCAUCUCUCAAACAAAGUAUGCCAAAGAACUGGUUAAAAAGUUUGGUUUUAGCGCUUUAAAUGGUCAAGAUACUCCCAUGGGAGAUAGGGUACGUCUUGGUAAGGAUCUUAUGGGUAAGUCUGUUGAUAUUCGUGAAUAUCGUAGUAUGAUUGGUAGUCACUUGUAUCUCACUGCUAGUCGUCCAGAUAUUGCUUAUAGUGUUGGAGUAUGUGCAAGGUUUCAGGCUAACCCUAAGGAAUCUCAUCUCACUGCUGUUAAACGUAUCAUUCAGUAUGUUGCUAGCACAUUUGACUACGGAUUAUGGUUCACCAGAGGUACAAAUAGUGUUGUGGCAGGUUAUUGUGAUGCUGAUUGGGGUGGUAAUCUUGAUGAUCGUCAUAGUACCAGUGGUGGCUGUUUCUAUGUUGGGAAUAAUCUUGUUUCCUGGCAUAGCAAGAAACAAUCAUCUGUAUCCAUCUCCUCGUGUGAAGCUGAGUAUAUAGCUGCAGCUAGUGCAUGUACACAACUUCUGUGGAUGCGUCAGAUGCUUCGGGACUAUGGCAUUCAACAGCAGGCGAUGGACUUGUUCUGUGAUAACACCAGUACCAUUAGUAUUUCCAAAAACCCUGUUCAGCACUCACGAACAAAGCAUAUCGACAUUCGUCAUCAUUUCCUUCGUGAGGCGGUUGAAAAGGGUGAUAUAGCAAUGGAAUUCAUUCCUACUGAACAUCAGUUAGCGGACAUUCUUACAAAACCUCUUGAUGCAGCUCGCUUUCAUUCCUUGCGUAAGUCCAUUGGGGUUGUAUCUCUUCCCUAAUUGUUUUUGGUCCUUUCCUUUUCUCUCUGUUCUUAUAUCUCUGGUCAUGUCUGUUUUUGCCAUUAUGGUUGGGUGUGUUGUUCCUUUCUUACUCGAUUGAGGGUAAAGGUAAUUUUUUUUUUUUGAGGUUGGCUCGCUCAAUAGUCAUGAGCUUCUUUACAUAUGGCUAUUUGUUAGGGUUUUUGGUCUUUAACAAAAAAAAAAAAAAUAUAUAUAUAUAUAUAUAUACACACAUUUUGUGGUUUACCUUGUUAUGGGUGUUUGGGAUACACAUACUUUGUAUAUGUGAUUAGAUUGGCCUUUUGCUUUCAAUCAUACUUGUAUACUUAGUGCUCAUGAAUAUAUCUAUUUCAUUACACUUGGCAUACGCUUGUGCUUUCAUGUUUAGAUUCUAGACCAACGUUUAUCUAGUUGUAUCUCAUGCUUACAUCCUUGCUUGAUUACACUAUGCACAACUAGCUGGCACUUUGAGAGUUUGUUUGCAUAUCUUUUUCCAUUCUUUGAACAUGAUGACCUUCUAGGAUAAUCAUUCGUUGGAAAUAUACGUAUGCAUGCCUUCUUAUGUUAUCUUGUUUAUUAGUAUGAAGGCGGUGUGGUAGUGGUCAACAAUUCACAAAAUCCCCAGCUUUUUGAUCUUCUUGAGAGAGAAAUCAUUUGGUAUAUUUUCCCGUUGGGGCCGUGAGGGUCAUGCAAUGACGGAUGCACUCAGGAGAUGUUAGUUCUUGUGUUGCACGUUACCAUGAUGUUGCACUACUUUACGUUUAUUUUUAUUUUUUUUUUUAAAAAAAAAAAAAAGGGUAUAUGUGCAUCUUCCCGGGUCUGUUUAGGCAUUUGUGUAGUGACAUCCUUCUAAUGGUGUUUACUAGUUGUUUUGAGUGUUCUUAUGUUUUGGGAGUGAGGUGUGUAAAUGACUCUCCUUGUGUUUUCUUUAGCUUUUCCACACACCAAGGAUGUUUGUAUGAUGCGUUUCUAGUCGAUGGUUGGUUUCUUAUCUUACUUUUUGAUUGGUGCGUACUUUGUUUAAUGAGACCAAGGUUAUUCAUCUCUACUAAGUAUCUUGUUUUUGAUUGAGCUUGCAUAUACUCCCUUCUACUCUUGUAUGCAUGGUUCUUUGUGUGUUUCCAAUAUCCUUGGUUGGUUUCUUUGUUCUGGGUGCAUCUUUCCUAUAUGCCUUGCAUUUAUGUGUGUUUUGUUUCUCCAUUUAGAUGUUGAGUAUGUUCUUGGAUGUUGCUAGUUUGAUAUUAGUUCUAGUUUCUUUCUGUUUUGUAGUAAAUUCCUGCUACUUAGGUAAUGGACCUUCCUAAUUGGGCCCAUGUUGGGUUCAUGUUUGUUUUUCUAUAUAUAUAUAGGUGUUUUUCUCUUCUUCUAUCUAUUGUAUGUUUUCUUACCUCCUUCUAGUUCUGUCCUUGUUCUUCAGACUUUUCAAUGGCAGAAUAUGAAGUUCAUGGGGUAUUUGUUCCGGCUGUUGGUUAUGUGUCGUUUAUGGUGAUGGAAUACAAAUUAAAACAAUUCGAAAGUUUGUCGCUUAUGUCGUGUUCCCCAUGGGUAUGACUAUAUUCAUCCAUCCUUUUUUAAUCCGUGCGUGGUUCAUGUCAACCAUUGGGAGAGAUUACCAGGACAUCUUCAGAAUCACAUCUUGGAGUUGGUUGGAUACCCGAAAGUUUCAGGACUUGCUGCUCCUCUCACCGACUGUGGCUUGGACAGUAGAAUUGAAGAGUUAUUUUGUACGAGUGAAUGGCUGGAGGAUUAUGAUGAUCAUGUGAUAGCUCGGUGGAAUAGAUCUUCGGCUCGUGCGGAAGCUUAUUUCUCCAAGCUUCCUCUAGGUCAUUGGGAACGAAUUUUUCGAAUUCGUUAACUUCAGUUUUAUGUUCUGUCUUUAUUGUUUCUUAUGUUUAUGGAUUCCUAUAUUUGGUUAUUAGUUGUUUUCAUGACUUUUUAGAGUUGGGAUAGGUUUUAUUUUUUAUCUGUUUUGUCUUGAUUGUUUGGUGUUGGUCUCUUUACUUGGUUAUUUUUGUUUCUUGCUUUUUGUUUCUCUUGUUAAUUGGUUCUCUUGUUCACUUGUUGUGACAAAAAGGGGGAGAUUUAUGACUCUAAUUACUAACAAUCGUCUCUUUGUUGUUAGGAUAUUUUUGGGUCAUGUUUCAGGUAUGCUACACGUAUGGGGGAGCUCAAGUGUCAAACUUUGGAGCUCAUGCAGUAUGGGGGAGUUGCUCAAAGGAGCUUCUGUUGAUUACUUGAUUGCUUCGAAAAUUCUUAGUUGCUUCCGUUUGGUCUCUGAUGGUUAAAGCGUCUUGCUCAAGCUGGAUAUCAAGAAUUGGUGACUCGGAAUGUGUUCUACCUUGAGUGUUUUGUUGGCAUGUUUUAUAAAUGCCAUGGUUUGGGUUUGUAAGCACAUUUUAUAAGUGCUAUUAGAGUCAUAGGUUUUUGUCACAAAAUCAAUGUCAAAGGGGGAGAUUGAAACCGGCUCUAAGUUGUUUGACAUCAAUUUUGUGACAUUGGUCGUCCAUGGUUAUUUCGCCUUGAGUUCACUGUUAAGAAAAUCUUGUUGUACGCAUGUCAUCUUGUCUUCGCGUCUUGUGUCAAGUAUGGUUUUUGGUUCAGGACGUACGUACCUUGUUAGGACGUACGUACAUCAGGUUAGGCAGCAAAAUAGUUUUUGGUCUGGACGUACGUACCUUGUUAGGACGUUCGUACGUCCAAGCUGUCAGCAAGCUUGUUUCGUAUGGAGACGUACGAACGUCAUUUCGACGUACGUACGUCCAAUGUGGAUUUUCUCUAUUUCGGCCCAUUUUCUGUGUUUUCCAACCCUAAGUAUAAAUAGGGUUUCUCUUCCAAAGGACAAGUUAGUUCUUUGGCCGUCCAGUAUUCCUCUUGUUCUGGAGUUUUGGUUUAGGUUUUGGUGUUGAAAGUGUUUUUGGUUAUUGAACUCAAUUCCCUUCCUUCCCCCUUCUUUCAAUUCAUAAAUCUGUUAUCUUCCAAGUUUCAUUGUGAAUUUGGCUUCGAGUCUUCUUUUGUGUUCAUCAAGAAGUCGAGUGUCUUGUGCGUACAUCAAGGUGCUCUGGUGAAGUCAAGGUGUUAGAGAUAACCAGGAGUAUCAACUCGCAGUGAGCGCAGGUAGUUGAUAGGUUUGUACAUCUCUUUUCAUCUAGUGGAUUAUUUGUUGUCAUCAAGGCAACCGUGGACGUUUCCCUUAUUGGGUUUUACCACGUUAAAAUUUUUUGUGUGUUAUUUACUUUCUGCGUAUUGUUUGAUUUGUUUGAAUAUUCAAUUGUUAUAUUAGCACUAUUUGUAGUUUCUCAUAUUCAACUUUGUAUUUUCUAUAUAAGAGAAGUAGUAGCUAAGGUUUAGGUAGCUUUUUAUUAAUUGAAUAUUGAAGAGACAAGUUCAUCUUCCUCUGUGAGCCCCGUCCUUUUCUUGGAGAGAUAUUACGUACAUCUGGAGUCAAAAGACUCAACUUCUCAGUUUUGUCUGUUUUUAGUCUUAUAUUCAUUUUUAUAGUUAGCCUUGAGAUGACAUCAAGUGGGUCUUGUAGCUUAUUCAAGAUGUGAUCACCAUAUCAGUACUUAGAGAUGAUACAAAGAUAUUUAGAUAAACCCUGUUUACCUUAGCCUACCCUGAUGAUAAAAUAUUCCUUAGGUUAACCAUUGUGAGCCUUUCUUGUUACUUAACAUUUUUCUUGAGCCCAUUAUCCUUACCCAACUCUAUUGUAGGAGUAAAUACCCUUAGAAUAUGUAGAUCCUUUAACUCAUAGUUUUUGGAACAUAAGAAUGAUUGUUUAUAUGGUUACAAGAAGAAAGGAGAAAUACAAAAGAAAUCUCCAAACUAGUGAGAUGAACCAAAUAUUGAAAAUUAAAAAGUUUGAAGAAAUUCCAGAAAAAGCCAGAAUCUUCCCAAACCAUUUCAAAUCUAAAAGAAAAGAAUAUUCAUAAAUUGGCUAGAGCUUCAUUGAAAUUUUCUCAAAAGAAGAUGAGAAACACUUCUUCCCAAAAAAAAAUUCCAAAAAUUUCUCCAUGUGUUGUUAUUACAAAUCACAAGUAUUGAAGGCUCGAAUGUUCCAAAAAUAUUUCACAACCUUUUUCAUUUCUAGCCAUGUCCUAAGCCAAGUUACAACUAAUUAUUCUCUUUCGUAGAUCUAAGCUGAUAUGGUACGAUCUGGCGAGUAAGUGAGAAGGUGCUGAGGUAAAAAGCCUGACAUCUCAAGCAAUGCUAAUUUUUUCCAUUCUUUGAGACAAAGUUCAUUCCAUUACACCAGUCCGUUUUUAUUGAAAUAUGUGAGAUGAUUGUCCAUCUUCUUUCCUCACAUAGAGGUAAAAUGAUAAACACCAUCUCUGAGCGAUUUUUAUUUCUGAGUGUAUGUCUGUGAGGCAGAAGUCAAGGCGACAUUUCCAAUAGUUACUUAUGACCCGUGGUAGCAUAGGUACAUGCCUGUCUUCCAUUCAUUUGAAACCGUUAUGCUUGGUUUAUAUUUCAUAUCUUAUUCAUGCAUUUAUAGUAUGCUAUCUUAUAUAAACGGUUUUGCAAUACUUAUCCUUAUUCUUGAUAUAGCCAUUUCUGAGGUAAAUGGUAGAAAUUCAUGUUCCUUGGAUUAGUCAUUGUAGUAAGUUUGUGGGUAUAUUCUCUGAAAAAACCCUCAGGAGACUAUAACUUCUCCACUUGGGAAAUCCUUGUGGUUGAAAGCCUUGAUGCAUAUGGUGAAUACAAUCACCUUAAUUUUACUUCUCUUUUGAGUCCUUAAUUCUUUUUUUCUCACCUUUGCUUGAGGACAAGCAAAGUGCUGUUUGGGGGUAUUUGAUAAGUUCUCAAAAGUGUAUAUUUAUCCCCUUAAUAACACCUUGUUUGUUUAACACUUAGCUUAUAUUAUUAUGUUAUAUCUAUUGAUUAGUGCUUCCUUGUCUAUUGUGUAGGUUUCAUGACCCGAAAUGCGAAUAUUGUGUUAAACCCCGCAAAAAAUAAUAAAAGCAAACAAAAAGGUGUUCUUUGCAAAAUAGAAGGAGAAUUGAUAUUUGCACCCACAGAUCUACUGAGGACACUCCACGGUCAGUCCCGUUGACUUGACUUUAUGUCAAAGUGGGGCGGUCCAAAUCUCAGCCCAAACCGGGUCCUAUUGGAGCCCACAAGUCAGAAUUUCUAUUUAGGGCUUUAUUUAAAGUCCAAACUUAAAAAGGCUCUACAAGGAGAUCCAGAAGUCUGAUUUGGGCCCAUGAGCUAUCAAACAGAAGGUCUUGGUCCAAGAUACAACUUAAGCCCAAGAUAAUUAGGUUUUGCUGAAGACCUAAUGCCUCUAGAAGACCAGCAGCAUCCAUGAAUUUGACCUAAUUUGGAAGUCUUUGCAUGCAAGUAUUCUACUUUGUAUUUUCUAUAUAAGAGAAGUAGUAGCUAAGGUUUAGGUAGCUUUUUAUGAAUUGAAGAUUGAACAGAAUAGUUCAUCUUCUUCUUUUGUCUCAAACUCAAUAUUAAUAUCAAUUCCAUUAUCUUUUCCAUUAUGAUGUCUUGUGAUUUAUUUAUUUAUUCCAUGGUGUCAUAAUCAAGGAUGAGUAGCUAAAUCUCCUUAGGGGGAUGGUUGAAGCACUCUAGAUGAUGCAAAAACACCAUGUUUGUUCUUAUUGUUCAUUGUGAUUCAAAGUUCUUAAUACUUAUUUACUUCUAAUUCGCGAUAUGAGGUAAGUAUGAUUAUUUGCACGUUAUUAUUAUUCUGUUGGUAAAAUACUAUUGUUAGGGUUUAGGGAGACCUAGCUUUAAUGGUUUUAUUUAUAUUGAUUAAAAAUGUGUAGUGAAAUAGCUGAGAGGUGAUUAUUACAUAUCAGCCGUUGAUAUCUUUUAUUGGAACCCUUUUGUAAUUAAGUCAAAUAGCUGAGAGGUGAUGAUUUAGUUAUGAAUAAUAUGUUGAGUUAAUUAAAGUGAAUAGCUGGGAGGUGACGAUUUGAUUAAUAAGAUAUAUUCAAUAGCAUGAAUAAGAGAAUCCCGUUUUAAUUGAGUGGAAUAGUUGAGAGGUGACUAUUUGAUUAUUAUAGGUAUUAAUGAUUAGUUGGAUUAACUGAGAGGUGACUAAUUAAUUGUUAUAGAUUGAACAUGAAGGAAUAACACGUUAAGUUUGCAUGAUUUAGUUUGUGGAUACCAAUUCUUCCCCAUUUGUCAUCAUUAAUCUUCUUUACAUUUCUACCAUAUUCUUAAGUUAGGGUUUAUUUAAUUAUUGCCUGUAGGAAGUUAGAAUCAAUCUCAAAACUUGUUUGUUGAUUCCCUUGGUGUUUCUUAACCAUUGUUUUCUAUUGUGUUUGAGCUAAGAUCUCCCCUUCUGAGGUGGGUACGACCCUUGCUUGUUACUUAUCUACUUUGAUAUCCAAUUUAUACAGGCACAAGAAGGAACUUAAAGUUAAAAAUAUAAUCUUUUGACAGAGAUUAGAGAUUAACAUCUUUGGCCUCUAACAGUGUCUCGUGCCAUUCUACAAAGAUAAUGGUGAAAAAUGGUUCUCUACGAGGUCACAGUGGUGAGAAACUACAAAUAGUGCUAAUAUAACAGUUCAAACAAAUCAAACAAUGCGCAGAAAGUAAAUAACACACAGAAAUUUUUAACGUGGUAAAACCCAAUAUGGGAAACGUCCACGGUUGUCCUCUCAACAACAAAUAAUCCACUAGAUGAAAAGAGAUGUACAAACCUAUCAACUACCUGCAAUCACUGCGAGUUGACACUCCUGGUUAUCUCUAACACCUUGACUUCACCAGAGCACCUUGAUGUACGCACAAGACACUCGACUUCUUGAUGAACACACAAGAAGACUCGAAGCCGAACUAUGAAACAAGCUUACACCAGAGUUCCUUGAUGAACACACAAGGAUACUCGACUUCUUGAUGAACACACAAGAAGACUCGAAGCUAAAUCACUAUUCAACAAUGAAGAAGAAGAUGAAUAGGGAAGAAGGAAGAAGAAGAUGAAUGGGGAAGAAAGAAGAUGAGUUCAAUCACCAAAACAACUUAAACCAAAACCUAAACAAACUCCAAGAACAAGAGAAAUCUUGGACGGCCAAAGAAUUAACUUGUUCUUUGGAAGAGAAACCCUAUUUAUACUUAGGGUUGGAAACCAAGGAAAAUGGGCCGAAAUACUGAAAAUCCAUAUNNNNNNNNNNNNNNNNNNNNNNNNNNNNNNNNNNNNNNNNNNNNNNNNNNNNNNNNNNNNNNNNNNNNNNNNNNNNNNNNNNNNNNNNNNNNNNNNNNNNCAUUGGGAAACAUGUGUGUUUCGUCAACUUAUAAGUUCGGAAAAUAAAUUGAGUACAUAUGAAGCCGAAUGUCCAGACAAUACCCAGUUCCCAUGGUCCAAAUGUUCUAUAUUGGCCUUAAAACGUCCCGGCUAAAACAUGUCGAUCUUGAGGUUUUAGAUUCCAAAACAAGUGAGUUUCGUCCAUUUCCAAGUUCGGACCGAAAACCGAGUAAAUGCCAACCAAACGGACGGACAUAAAUCUCGUUUUUACGGACGGAACAGUGUUUUUUCACCUUAGAACGCCCCGAGUUAAGUAAUGGGGUGGCUAGUCUCUUAGGUGUAUCGUUUUCCAUUGGGAAACAUGUGUGUUUCGUCCACUUAUAAGUUCAGAACAAAAAUCGAGUACAUACCAAGCCGAAUUUCCGGACAAAACACCGUUCCCAUGGUCCAAAUGUUCUAUAUUCGCCUUAAAACGCUCCGACUAAGCCUUGUCGAUCUUGAGGUUUUAGGUUCCAAAACAAGUGAGUUUCGUACAUUUCCAAGUUCGGACCGAAAACCGAGUAAAUGCCGACCGAACGGACGGACAUAAAUCUCGUUUUUACGGACGGAACGUUGUUUUUUCACCUUAGAACUCCCGAGUUAAGUAAUGGAGUGUCUAGUCUCUUAGGUGUAUCAUUUUCCAAUGGGAAACAUGUGUGUUUCGUCCACUUAUAAGUUCGGAACAAAAAUCGAGUAAAUACCAAGCCGAAUGUCUGGUCAAAACACCGUUCCCAUGGUCCAAAUGUUCUAUAUUGGCCUUAAAACGCCCAGGCUAAGCCUUGUCGAUCUUGAGGUUUUAGAUUCCAAAACAAGUGAGUUUCGUCCAUUUCCAAGUUCGGACCGAAAACCGAGUAAAUGCCGACCGAACGGACGGACAUAAAUCUCGUUUUUACGGACGAAACGUUGUUUUUUCACCUUAGAACGCCCCGAGUUAUGUAAUGGAGUGGCUAGUCUCUUAGGUGUAGCGUUUUCCAAUGGGAAACAUGUGUGUUUCGUCCACUUAUAAGUUCGGAAAAAAAAUCGAGUACAUACCAAGCCGAAUGUCCGGAAAAAACACCGUUCCCAUGGUCCAAAUGUUCUCUAUUGGCCUUUAAACGCCCCGACUAAGCCAUGUCGAUCUUGAGGUUUAGAUUCCAAAACUAGUGAGUUUCGUCCAUUUCUAAGUUCGGACCGAAAUCCGAGUAAAUGCCGACCAAACGGACGGACGGAACGUUGUUUUUUCACCUUAGAACGCCCCGAGUUAAGUAAUGGAGUGGCUAGUCUCUUAGGUGUAUCGUUUUCCAUUGGGAAACAUUUGUGUUUCAUCCACUUAUAAGUUCAGAACAAAAAUCGAGUACAUACCAAGCAGAAUUUCCGGACAAAACCCCGUUCCCAUUGUCCAAAUGUUCUAUAUUGGCCUUAAAACACCACGACUAAGCCUUGUCGAUCUUGAGGUUUUAGAUUCCAAAACAAGUGAGUUUCGUCCAUUUUCAAGUUCGGACUGAAAACCGAGUAAAUGCCGACCGAACGGACGGACAUAAAUCUCGUUUGUACGGACGGAACGUUGUUUUUCACCUUAGAACGCCCCGAGUUAAGUAACGGAGUGGCUAGUCUGCUAGGUGUAUCAUUUUCCAAUGGGAAACAUGNNNNNNNNNNNNNNNNNNNNNNNNNNNNNNNNNNNNNNNNNNNNNNNNNNNNNNNNNNNNNNNNNNNNNNNNNNNNNNNNNNNNNNNNNNNNNNNNNNNNNNNNNNNNNNNNNNNNNNNNNNNNNNNNNNNNNNNNNNNNNNNNNNNNNNNNNNNNNNNNNNNNNNNNNNNNNNNNNNNNNNNNNNNNNNNNNNNNNNNNNNNNNNNNNNNNNNNNNNNNNNNNNNNNNNNNNNNNNNNNNNNNNNNNNNNNNNNNNNNCCUUAGAACGCCCCGAGUUAUGUAAUGGAGUGGCUAGUCUCUUAGGUGUAUCGUUUUCCAAUGGGAAAUAUGUUUGUUUCGUCCACUUAUAAGUUCGGAAAAAAAAUCGAGUACAUACCAAGCCGAAUGUCCGGAAAAAACACCGUUCCCAUGGUCCAAAAGUUCUCUAUUGGCCUUUAAACGCCCCGACUAAGCCAUGUUGAUCUUGAGGUUAAGAUUCCAAAACUAGUGAGUUUCGUCCAUUUCUAUGUUCGGACCGAAAACCGAGUAAAUGCCGACCAAACGGACUGACGGAACGUUAUUUUUUCACCUUAGAACGCCCCGAGUUAAGUAAUGGAGUGGCUAGUCUUUUAGGUGUAUCGUUUUCCAUUGGGAAACAUGUGUGUUUCGUCCACUUAUAACUUCAGAACUAAAAUCGAGUACAUACCAAGCCGAAUUUCCGGACAAAACACCGUUCCCAUGGUCCAAAUGUUCUAUAUUGGCCUUAAAACGCCCCCGACUAAGCCUUGUCGAUCUUGAGGUUUUAGAUUCCAAAACAAGUGAGUUUCGUCCAUUUCCAAGUUCGGACCGAAAACCGAGUAAAUGCCGACUGAAUGGACGGAAAUAAAUUUCAUUUUUACGGACGAAACGUUGUUUUUUCACCUUAGAACGCCCCGAUUUAAGUAAUGGGGUGGCUAGUCUCUUAGGUGUAUCGUUUUCCAUUGGGAAACAUGUGUGUUUCGUCCACUUAAAAGUUCAGAACAAAAAUCGAGUACAUACCAACCCGAAUUUCCGAACAAAACACCGUUCCCAUGGUCCAAAUAUUCUAUAUUGGCCUUAAAACGCCCCGACUAAGCUUUGUCGAUCUUGAGAUUUUAGAUUCCAAAACAAGUGAGUUUCGUCCAUUUUCAAGUUCGGACUGAAAACCGAGUAAAUGCCGACCGAACGGACGGACAUAAAUCUCGUNNNNNNNNNNNNNNNNNNNNNNNNNNNNNNNNNNNNNNNNNNNNNNNNNNNNNNNNNNNNNNNNNNNNNNNNNNNNNNNNNNNNNNNNNNNNNNNNNNNNCCUUAGAACGCCCCGAGUUAAGUAAUGGAGUGGCUAGUCUGUUAGGUGUAUCAUUUUCCAAUGGGAAACAUGUGUGUUUCGUCCAAUUAUAAGUUCGGAACAAAAAUCAAGUACAUACCAAGCCGAAUGUCUGGGCAAAACACCGUUCCCCUGGUCCAAAUGUUCUAUAUUGGCCCUAAAACGCCCAGACUAAGCCUUGUCGAUCUCGAGGUUUUAGAUUACAAAACAAGUGAGUUUCGUCCAUUUCCAAGUUCGGACCGAAAACCGAGUAAAUGCCGACCGAACGGACGGACAUAAAUAUCGUUUUUACGGAUGAAACGUUGUUUUUUCACCUUAGAACGCCCCGAGUUAUGUAAUGGAGUGGCUAGUCUCUUAGGUGUAUCGUUUUCCAAUGGAAAAACAUGUUUGUUUCGUCCACUUAUAAGUUCGGAAAAAAAAUCGAGUACAUACCAAGCCGAAUGUCCGGAAAAAACACCGUUCCCAUGGUCCAAAAGUUCUCUAUUGGCCUUUAAACGCCCCGACUAAGCCAUGUCGAUCUUGAGGUUAAGAUUCCAAAACUAGUGAGUUUCGUCCAUUUCUAUGUUCGGACCGAAAACCGAGUAAAUGCCGACCAAACAGACUGACGGAACGUUAUUUUUUCACCUUGGAACGCCCCGAGUUAAGUAAUGGAGUGGCUAGUCUUUUAGGUGUAUCGUUUUCCAUUGGGAAACAUGUGUGUUUCGUCCACUUAUAACUUCAGAACUAAAAUCGAGUACAUACCAAGCCGAAUUUUCGGACAAAACACCGUUCCCAUGGUCCAAAUGUUCUAUAUUGGCCUUAAAACGCCCCCGAUUAAGCCUUGUCGAUCUUGAGGUUUUAGAUUCCAAAACAAGUGAGUUUCGUCCAUUUCCAAGUUCGGACCGAAAACCGAGUAAAUGCCGACUGAAUGGACGGACAUAAAUUUCAUUUUUACGGACGAAACGUUGUUUUUUCACCUUAGAACGCCCCGAUUUAAGUAAUGGGGUGGCUAGUCUCUUAGGUGUAUCGUUUUCCAUUGGGAAACAUGUGUGUUUCGUCCACUUAAAAGUUCAGAACAAAAAUCGAGUACAUACCAACCCGAAUUUUCGGACAAAACACCGUUCCCAUGGUCCAAAUAUUCUAUAUUGGCCUUAAAACGCCCCGACUAAGCCUUGUCGAUCUUGAGAUUUUAGAUUCCAAAACAAAUGAGUUUCGUCCAUUUCCAAGUUCGGACCGAAAACCGAGUAAAUGCCGACCGAACGGAUGGACAUAAAUCUCGUUUUUACGGACAGAACGAAUCAGACGAGCCCCACAAUGCCCUGAGUUAAGUAAUGGAGUGGCUAGUCUCUUAGGUGUAUCAUUUUCCAAUGGGAAACAUGUGUUUUUCGUCCACUUAUAAGUUCGGAACAAAAAUCGAGUACAUACCAAGCCGAAUGUCCGGGCAAAACACCGUUCCCAUGGUCCAAAUGUUCUAUUUUGGCCUUAAAACACCAAGACUAAUCCUUGUCGAUCAUGAGGUUUUAGAUUCCAAAACAAGUGAGUUUCGUCCAUUUCCAAGUUCGGACCGAAAACCGAGUAAAUGCCGACUGAAUGGACGGACAUAAAUCUCGUUUUUACGGAUGAAACGUUGUUUUUUCACCUUAGAACGCCCCGAUUUAAGUAAUGGGGUGGCUAGUCUCUUAGGUGUAUCGUUUUCCACUGGGAAACAUGUGUGUUUCGUNNNNNNNNNNNNNNNNNNNNNNNNNNNNNNNNNNNNNNNNNNNNNNNNNNNNNNNNNNNNNNNNNNNNNNNNNNNNNNNNNNNNNNNNNNNNNNNNNNNNNNNNNNNNNNNNNNNNNNNNNNNNNNNNNNNNNNNNNNNNNNNNNNNNNNNNNNNNNNNNNNNNNNNNNNNNNNNNNNAAAACCGAGUAAAUGCCGACCGAACGGACGGACAUAUAUCUCGUUUUUACGGACGGAACGUUGUUUUUUCCCCUUAGAACGCCCCUAGUUAAGUAAUGGAGUGGCUAGUACAUUAAUCAACUCAAAUAUCAGUUGAUUAACAUGCUAAUCAACUCAAUAAUAGUUGAUUAGUACAUUAAUCAACUCAAUAAUAGUUGAUUAGUAUAUUAAUCAACUCAACAAUAGUUGAUUAGUAUAUUAAUCAACUCAACAAUAGUUGAUUAGUAUAUUAAUCAACUCAAAUAUCAGUUGAUUAGUACAUUAAUCAACUCAAAUAUCAGUUGAUUAACAUGCUAAUCAACUCAACAAUAGUUGAUUAGUAUAUUAAUCAACUCAACAAUAGUUGAUUAGUAUAUUAAUCAACUCAAAUAUCAGUUGAUUAGUACAUUAAUCAACUCAAAUAUCAGUUGAUUAACAUGCUAAACAACUCAACAAUAGUUGAUUAGUAUAUUAAUCAACUCAACAAUAGUUGAUUAGUACAUUAAUUCAACAUUGCUCAGUGGAUGCUUGGAAUCUACAACUGUAACAUCUGCAAAAUUCACACUGUAUAGGAAGUCCCAAAGGUAAAAUGCCUACAAUAUAAGUCUUACAACAUAGACCAUUGCAACAACACUUCAAUUCAACAUAAAUGCAAAAUAGAUUCAUUUCAACUAACACAUAAUUACUUUAUCCAAACAUUCAUAAUCAUUUGUCCAAAAUAGAACAUCUGCCCACAUACAUUCCAAAUAACAUUUGUCCAAAAACAUCUGCCAAACCAAAAAACAACAUUUUUCCAAAAGCAACAGUUUAGGGUCAUUUUAUGUUUGCUUCCUAACAGGAAGCCAGCUGUCAACAAAAUUAGGUUUCCUUCCCAAGGUUUUGUUUCCUCCAUCAGUUUUCUUUGAGCCACCAACACUUGAACCAGCUUCUGUAGCCUUCCUUAUAGAGAACCUGACACCUGCUCUAGAAGUUGUUGCAAGUUUAGCUGCCAAACCUGAUGUUGUUGUUGUUGCCUUUGACUUUGAAGUUUCUGGAACCUGUGCAGCCUUUUUCUUGCCAGUAUUUGGAGCUGGAGCUUGUGGAACCUGUGCAGCUUUUUUCUUGCCAGUAUUUGGAGCUGGAGCUUGUGGAACCUGUGCAGCUUUUUGCUUGCCAGUAUUUGGAGCUGGUGGAACCAUUCUCCUGCCAGUAUUUGCUUGUGAAGCUUGUGGAGGAUUUACCUUACCAGUAUUUGAAGUGGAGUGCUUCCUAGGAGACUUUCUGACAACUUGUGAUGCUUGUGUGCUCUGAGAUGGCAUUGGAGUAGCUGAACUCAAAACCUGUGAAGUCUGUAUACUCUGGGAUGCAGCUGAUUGUCUUUUUCUCUUCACACCUUGUACUCCUUUCACAUUAUCAGUUGGUUGACUUUCUUGUGCACUUCCUGAUGAUUGAGCACUUUUAUUUCUUCUGACCUGUUUCAAGUAAAAUGUCAUAACCAUUAGGCUAAGCAUUAAUUCUAAUUUGUUUCAAGUAUAAUAACAUAAACUCUUUAACAAUAUACUUACUGCCAAUUUUUUUGGCUUAACUGGACAUGCAGGCUCCAAUCCUUUAGCAUACCUCUUUCUCUGCAGAUUAAAUGUAAGUGUAAGCAACAACACAAAUAAAAAUUCAUUUAAUGUAAAACAAUCUAAAAUUACACAAGUACUUACAGGUAAUGGAUAUGGUCUUGGUGGUAAAUUGCAUCUAGACUUAUUAUGUCCUUCUACUCCACAGUUACUACAACUCAUUUUAACUCCAACUUUUGAGAUUCUGAGCCCCCCACCCUUACUCUUCCUUUCUUCAUUCUUUCCCUUCUUUCUAGCCUUUGUUGGUCUACCUGGCAUCUUUCUAUCAAAUGGAGGCAAAAGAGGUUCACAAUUAGAUUUUGGCCACAACAUGGGACCAUCAAGUGGUUCAAUAUAAUGAUCAUAUGCCUUCUUCCAUUUCUCGACUGUGAACCAUUCAGAUAUGUAAUCCUCAGGAUUCUCCUUGAGAUAAUAAAUUGCUUUGAUAGAAUGACAACAUGGGAUCCCAGACAACUCCCACAUUCUGCAUGAACAUCUAUAAUUUUGUGGAUUCAAGUUCACAGAAAAUUGUUCUUCACCUAAUGAAACUUCAAACUUUCUAUUCCCAUUGUAAGAAACCCUCCAAAAUCUCUGAUCCAUCCUGUUCUCUUCAAACUUUUUCCUAAUUCUUGGAGUAAAUUUGUCUUUCACCAUCCAUUUUUCUAUUGCACUUUUGUUCCUCUCCAUCCUUCCCACUACAUAUUUCUUAAUGGUCUCCAACAUCCAGAUUAUUAGUUUACCCCUUGCUUCAACAAUUUUCCCAUUGAAUGUCUCACUCAUGUUAUUCUCUACAGCAUCACAACAAGCUUGUUUUGAAUAAAAUGCCCUAGACCAGUGUUUAGGAUCAGUUUUCAUGAGGUAGUCAUAAGCAUCCUCAGAAAUCUCCUUAAGGUCUGCCAUAUGUUGUUCAAAUUCCUGCUUAGUACCUGCUUUAGCUGCAGACCAGAAAAGCACCUUUAGUUCAGCACCCAUGUAGGACUUCCUCAUGUUAGAAUACACAUGCCUAGCACACAUCCUAUGUUCAGCUUCAGGCAUCAGCUCUUGAAUUGCUUGAAUUAAUCCUUUCUGUUUAUCUGAGAUGAAAGUCCAUCCAGCCCCUUCUGAUGUGUUCAAAGCUACCAUUAAAUGUUCUAGAAACCACUUCCAGUUUUCCUUAUUUUCAACUGUAACUACUGCCCAAGCAAAUGGGUACAUCUGGUUAUUUGCAUCCCUACCUACAGCUGUCAGCAAUUCACCCUUCACAUAUCCUUUAAAAAAACAUCCAUCAAGGCCUAUUAUAGGUCUACACCCUUCCAGAAAUCCUUGAAUGAGACUUGGAAAAGAAAUCCACAUAGUUUUCAAUGUUGGGGGAUCACCUGGCAGAGCUCUGUCAACAGUUAUAUCUACAACAGCACCUGGAUUCUUCUUAACCACUUCUUCACCAUAAUCUCUAACCCUUGCGUAAUGCUCCACCAAAGAACUCUCAAUCCCACCCAUAGCCCUAGCCCUUGCUCUGCCACACAUGUUAAUGCUAACAUCUAUAGAAUAUGUUUCCAACACAUUAGUCUGAAAAUCCUUCAACUUCCACUGCGGGUUAUCAAGCAACUUUUUCUGGUAUACCUUAGCCAACCACUCGGCCUUAACAAUCUUAAUAUUAAAAGUCCUUGUACACCUGUGUUCUAAAUUCAGUGUUUUUAUUUGCACACUAUUCUCAUCUGACAUCUUUGUGGCCCACAACCUCCAUGGACAUCCUUUCACACACUUUGCAAGCAAAAUGUCUUUGCUUGUUCUGUCAAAGUUAAUGCCCCAACCAUUUUUAACUGCAUAUCCUGUUAUACAGUCUCUGAGUUGAUCAGUGUUCUUGAAUUUCUGGUACAAUUCAGGAACAAAUGUGAAAAUAUCCCUCUUAGGAUUCCAGACUGGACAUUUAGGUUUCUUUAUUUUUUUCUUUAUCACUGAAUCUUCUUCAUCACUGCUAUCUGAUGAUCUGUUCAAUUCAUCACUGUCAGCAACAUCACUUAACUCACCAUCUACAUUAAAACAGGUUUCUGCAUUAUCAACAAAAGCAGGUAGUUCCACAUCUUCUGAUUUUUUGGUAGUCUUUUUUCCCUUCUUUCCUUUCCUUUCUUUUUGUUGUUCAACUCUUACUUCUCUUAGUUCAUCAUCACUUACAUCAAUAGAUCUUGCCUCACUAUCAACACUUCCAGUUUCACAAACUUGGUCACUCUCUUCGUAAAUAUCAUUGUCUUCAUCAUCUUCAUAAGCAGCAUUAUUGUCUUCAUCAUUUUCAUAAACAACAUUGUCUCCAUGCUCUUCUGGUUUAUUAGGCUGACUUGAUUCCCCAAAGUCCCAGAAUACCUCAUCAAACAAAUCAUGUUCAACAUAGAGCUCAAUCAGCUCUUUACUCUGCACAACAUUCAUCAUAUCUACAGUGCUUCUAUCAUCCACAACCAGCCUUAAGUUAUCCUUCAAAGGUCUUCCAGCUACACACCAAUGUAUCUUACUCACAUCUCUAUAUUUCAAAUCAUCUUUAAUGUAGGACUUAAUCUCAACUGCACCAAGCUUAUCAACAUCCAAUGCAAAAUAGUCUUUUUUCCCCAUCUUAUAAUGCAGCGAAGGAAUGAGGGAAAAAAACCCUCCAUGAUGUACCUCAAACAGAAUUUCUUGCAUCACUGUUUCAAAGUGAUAAAAAAAAUGCUUAAUAACAAACAUCACAAUAGUUAAGUGUUGAAAUGUCCAUUACAAUAAACUAAGUGUCAAAACAAACAUUGCUUAAUAAACUAAGUAUCAUGAAUAAACUAGUAUUGUAUACCAACAUACUUAAUAAGCAUGCACCCAAACCAAAUAGAAUGUACAGAGGAACAUUUUGGACGUGGGAUUAUUAUGCCAGACAAUGCAGUUUUCAGGAAAUAAUUUCAUAACAUGCAACCCCAUUUCCUUCAUUCACCUUAAACAGACACAAGCAUGCAACCCCAUUUCCUUCAUUCACCUUAAACAGACACAAGCAUGACAGACAGAAAGAUGGAUUAUCAACAGCUUUUCUGCCACACAAGGGGUUUAAGCAAGGAAAUUAAAGACCUAGAACCAAAUAUGCUAGAUUUCAAAAGACUAAUGCACUGCACUGCACUGCACUGCAACUCAAUAUCAGAUCAUGAAAAUAAGGAUCCCAACAAAAGCAUAACACGUUCAAUUGAAUUUGGUAACAUGAUUCUCAGUUGUAUAGCUGCUAAAC
rnacentral:lncRNA from 1 species